UACGUAGGGCGCAAGCGUUGUCCGGAAUUAUUGGGCGUAAAGAGCUCGUAGGCGGUCUGUCGCGCUGCCGUGAAAACCCGAGGCUUAACCUCGGGCUGGCGGUGGAUACGGGCAGACUAGAGGUAGGUAGGGGAGAAUGGAAUUCCCGGUGUAGCGGUGAAAUGCGCAGAUAUCGGGAGGAACACCGGUGGCGAAAGCGGCUCACUGGACAGUAACUGACGCUGAUGGCACGAAAGCUAGGGGAGCAAACAGG
rnacentral:rRNA from 1 species